rnacentral:lncRNA from 1 species
AUCUCUUUUGGCAACUUGGCGUUACUGUGACAUCUCAGCAAGUGAUCAGUGGUCUUGUCUCAUUGAACCUGGAGACAGGUAAGUUCAGGUGUCCAACUUGGAUAGGGAGUCCAUAUGGCAUACUCUGUGUACUAGUAAUACUGCAUCUAAUUCAGUCCCACCCUUUAGGCUAUUUACCACCCACCUGCUCCACCUCCUGGAGAUUCUUUACUAUGUAACCAAGAGAAUGCUUCCUGUCUUUGAAGUGAAAGUCCCAACAGAUUUGAAUUUUUUUAAAAAACUGCUCUUCACCUCAGAAGUUAGAUCUACUAAUCUUAUGAUGUGGAGACAUUGUUGUGCAGUAAUUAUGUAUAUGAUCCCUGGAAUGAGAUGACAUAGGUUUAAAUGCAGGUUCUGCUACUUACCAACUGCUUCCGCAAAUUGCUUAAUCUCUUGCAGCCUCAGUGUUAUUAUCUGUAAUAUGUACUUUAAAAAGUCUAAAAUUUCAGAGGGCCUUCAUAAAAAACUAUGAAAGGUAAUGCAGUUUACAGAAACUUGAACAUGAUGAAAUGUUAUAAUAAAUAUUUUCCUUAUUCUGGAUCAUAAAAAUUUAUGAUAUUUGCAAAGUUUUUCAAAACCUUCACAAUAGAGAUGAUUCUAUCAAUAUCCAACCUUGUAAAUAAACAAUCACUUUCAGUUAUAAACAUUGUUAAAAGAUAAUACAUAUCAGCUAAUUCCAAAAGUUCUUUAUUUUGUAUUUGUUUAAUGGGGGAUUGAACCCAGGAGCAUUCAACUAUUGAGCUACAUCUCCAGCCCUAUUUAUUUAUUUAUUUAUCUAUCUAUCUAUCUAUCUAUCUAUCUAUUUAUUUAAAUUUUGAAAUAGGACCUUGCAAGUUACCCAGGCUGGUCUUGAACUACAAUGUGAUCUUCCUACCUGAGCCUCCUGAGUAGUUAGGAUUAUAGGCACGCGCCAUUUUACCCAGCAAUAUUUGUUUUUUAAUGCAUGAUAUGAUAUGAGGGACACUACAUUUAGUUUCUAGGUGUCCAUUAAAAGCAGUUAUUUCUUCAGCUCAGCUUGUCUGUAGGUGAAAGAAGGCAGCCAGGCAGGUGCAUGUGUACAUUGCAUGAAAGCAUGAGGGUAGAGCUCAGUGGUAGCAUAUAUGCUCAGCAUGUGCAAGACCCUAGGUUUAAUCCCCAACAACACACACACACACACACACACACGGAGUUAUUUGAUGGCAUAUAUGUUGCCUACUUAUAUAUAAAUUCAAAAGACUUCAUAUGCAGACUCUUUUCUGCUGAACUCUAUCCUGCUCAUUCUUCUCCAUUUCCUUCUGUGAACUUUGUCAUCUGGAAGAAAGCAGCUACUCACCCAUGCAGCUCCGCAACUCCUAGAAAGAGUCAAGGAUUCCUGCACCAGAGAGGCUAGAUAAUGAUGAGCACCAGGCAGGCAGGACACACUGGCUGAAAAGAGAGCCCUGUGUAGGCAGAGAGCCAGAAUGUCAAAAGUAAGCAGUCCUUUUUUAUCUGGAAGGAAAAGCUUGCACUUAUCUGUACUAUUGGGGACAAGACUGUCACCAGCCCAACUCAGCCUUCAAUAAGUGGAGGGAAAAGGACUCCAAGAGGGUUUGUACCAUCUUUAUGGAUCUGAAUUAACAUUGUUCUAUAACAAAACUCAAAUGUGUAAACUGCAAAUCAAGGAAUCCA